GAUGAACGCUGGCGGCGUGCCUAAUACAUGCAAGUCGAGCGAACAGAUGAGGAGCUUGCUCCUCUGACGUUAGCGGCGGACGGGUGAGUAACACGUGGAUAACCUACCUAUAAGACUGGGAUAACUUCGGGAAACCGGAGCUAAUACCGGAUAAUAUAUUGAACCACAUGGUUCAAUAGUGAAAGACGGUUUUGCUGUCACUUAUAGAUGGAUCCGCGCCGCAUUAGCUAGUUGGUAAGGUAACGGCUUACCAAGGCAACGAUGCGUAGCCGUCCUGAGAGGGUGAUCGGCCACACUGGAACUGAGACACGGUCCAGACUCCUACGGGAGGCAGCAGUAGGGAAUCUUCCGCAAUGGGCGAAAGCCUGACGGAGCAACGCCGCGUGAGUGAUGAAGGUCUUCGGACCGUAAAACUCUGUUAUUAGGGAAGAACAAAUGUGUAAGUAACUAUGCACGUCUUGACGGUACCUAAUCAGAAAGCCACGGCUAACUACGUG
rnacentral:rRNA from 1 species